rnacentral:lncRNA from 1 species
UUUGUUUUGGAUCACAUUGUACAUUUUCGUGCUCAAAUAGAAAAUCCGGAAAGAAAAAAUAGAUUACUGAGUCGCCUUCUUUGUGAAAUGACUUUAAAGAUGGGUUGGUCCGAAGCUUGCACGAGAAAAUUUGAAUUUGACAUGUCAGCUAACUCUAGUGGGUUGGCUUCGAAUCUUUGCUUAGCAGUGAAACGUUACUUUGGAUUUCAGUCCUCCGAUUGAUAUCUCUCCAACAUGUGCUUCAAGUUUAUCUCUUUGCUUUUGGGCUGAAACCUAGGAACGUUUUCCUUGCCUUGUAAGUUAAUGUUUUCGAUUAAAAAAAUCAAGUCCAUGUUUUAUUGGCUCUGUGGGUAUGAGUAUGAAUAUAUACCUAAACAUGCAACCAAACGAAAGUGAAUCUGUUCUCAUCCAUAACCUGCGAAAAAUGAAGGACCAACUUGGAUUCAGAAUCGUGCUCUGUUCUGCGAUUUUCAUAAUUCUGACACAAAACAGAGCUCUCGCAGACUUGGACAGCGAGUCCCACGGGUACUAACAUUACGAUCAUUCAAAAACUUGGUCUCGGAAUCAUUUACUUCUAGGGAAGAAUGACAGAUUGAAGCUGAUUUUGCAGGGUUAACUCAGAAUCAGUAGGAGAAGAAGAAUGGGAGAUGGUGCAGAGGAAAGGGAUGCAAUUCACCCUAAAUGGACAACCAUUCUAUGUGAAUGGCUUCAACACGUACUGGAUGAUGACUCUUGCAGCUGACAAUUCCACGAGAGGCAAAGUGACGGAAGUGUUCCAACAAGCCUCUGCGGUUGGAAUGACAGUAGGCAGGACAUGGGCUUUCAACGACGGCCAAUGGAGAGCUCUCCAGAAAUCUCCCUCUGUUUACGAUGAAGAGGUCUUCAAGGUAUAUCUCUACGCCUAAAGCUUCUUCCUUCAAGACUCUUUUCUAUUUAAAGGGUUGAGCAAUUGGGCAGGCCCUCGACUUCGUGGUGAGCGAGGCCAGAAAGUACAAGAUCAGGCUUAUACUGUCAUUGGUCAACAACUGGGACGCCUAUGGCGGCAAAGCUCAGUACGUUAAAUGGGGCAACGCCUCCGGCCUUAAUCUCACCUCCGACGACGACUUCUUCACCAACCCCACCCUCAGAAACUUCUACCAAUCCCAUGUCCGGGUGAUUAUUCCAUCCAUCUCAGCAAACAUUCAUUGCUUAUUUAUCGGAAAAGCACAAGUUUUUACCCAUCAGGGAAAAAUUGUAACUUCAAUGUCGUUGCAUUGCAGACAGUGCUGAAUAGAGUCAACACCUUCACAAACAUAACUUACAAGAAAGACCCCACCAUCUUCGCCUGGGAACUCAUGAAUGAGCCUCGUUGCCCCUCUGAUCCCUCCGGUGACAAACUCCAGUCUUGGAUACAAGAAAUGGCGGUGUUUGUGAAGAGCUUAGACGCUAAACAUUUGGUGGAGAUCGGACUUGAAGGCUUCUAUGGUCCCUCUGCCCCUGUGAGAACCAGAUUCAAUCCCAACCCCUACGCUGCACAAGUCGGAACUGACUUCAUCAGAAAUAAUCAGGUUCUUGGCAUCGAUUUUGCUUCGGUUCACGUCUAUCCAGAUUCCUGGUAAGUUUUUGAUGCAAAAUACCAAGAAACAGACACUGCCCUGAAUCUGAAAACAGAGAACAGCUGAAAAAUGCAGUAAAUAAUUGUUAACUGUAGGAUAUCUCCGGCAGUAUCAAAUUCUUUCCUGGAAUUCACUAGCUCUUGGAUGCAAGCUCAUGUGGAGGACGCAGAGAUGUACUUGGGAAUGCCGGUUCUGUUCACAGAGUUUGGUGUGUCUGCACAUGACCCUGGUUUCAACACGUCUUUCCGUGACAUGAUGUUGAAUACGGUGUACAAGAUGACCCUCAACUCAACAAGGAAAGGAGGGGCUGGUGCCGGGAGUCUGGUCUGGCAGGUCUUCCCUCAAGGGGCAGAGUUCAUGGAUGACGGCUAUGCGGUUUACCUCACAAGAGCUCACACCGCUUCAAAAAUCAUAUCUCUGCAGUCGAAGCGACUAGCCAUCUUCAACUC